rnacentral:rRNA from 1 species
CUACUACCGAUUGAAUGGCUUAGUGAGGCGUUCGGAGAGCCUAUAAGGUGCUGGCAACCAGUGCUUUACUGGUUCAAAGUUCUACGAACUUGGUCAUUUAGAGGAAGUAAAAGUCGUAACAAGGUU